rfam:Triticum aestivum genome assembly, contig: Triticum_aestivum_CS42_TGACv1_scaffold_622129_7DS
AUACCUUUCUCGGCUUUUUGGCUAAGAUCAAGUGUAGUAUCUGUUCUUAACAGUUUAAUAUCUUAUAUGUGAACCAUGUGCUCACAACGAUAUUAAAUUUAUUUUUUGUGGGGAGGGUCCACCAUGGCUUGCCACUAGGGCCCUUAGGUGUCGCCUGGGUGUUGCACUACAGCCCAGGCCGGCGCACUCCAA